AUUGAACGCUGGCGGCAGGCCUAAUACAUGCAAGUCGAGCGGAUGAAUUGAGCUGUCGCUUGCAUUCAGCUGCGCACGGGUUUGUAAUGCCUAGGAAUCUGCGUGGUAGUGGUGGAUAACAUCGGGAAACGGGCGCUAAUACCGCAUACUACUUGCGCGUGAUAUUGAUUGUUCUUCGAACCUUACUCUAUCAGAUGAGCCUAGGUCGGAUUAGCUAGUUGUUGGGUGAAUGGCCUACUAAGUCGACUAUCGGUAACUGGUUUCAGAGGAUGAUCAGUCACACUGGAACUGGACAACGGUCCAGACUCCUACGGGAGGAGCCGGUGGGGAAUAUUGGAAAAUGAGGGAAGGCCUGAUCAAGCACUGCCGCGUGUGUAAAAAAGGUCUUCGGAUUGUAAAGCACUUUAAGUUGGGAGGAAGGGCAGUAAGUUAGUACCUUGAUGUUUUGACGUUACCAACAGAAUAAGCACCGGCUAACUUCGUG
rnacentral:rRNA from 1 species